UGUAAGCCAAAUGAACCCUUUCCUCCCCAAGUUGCUUUGGUCAUAGUGUUUCCUCUCUCACAGCAUUAGUUACCCUGACUAAGACAGCCUCCUAAUUAUCGAUAGGGUUGGUAGCAUGUGACAGGAAGUCCACAUGGCGGCAGCUGAACUACACUGAGGUUUAGACCCUGACAUUACAAAGUAUGCAGGUUCCUGACCAGGACCUGUGUGGCACAGCCGCAAAGCCACCAACUCCUUCUACUUCACUGCACCAUCGCCAGUGUGUGCCCUGUCUUCGUAGCCAAGGAUGGCUCUGGAAGCUACACACAGCUCACCUAGGUCCCUGGACUAGGACGAUGGGAAAGCCAGGAAUGGCGCUUUCUGACUUCUUUCUGACAGCAAACAGCAUUCUGACUUCCCAGGAGAUAUUGCCAGGAAACGUUGCCAGCGCUGGAAACUGAGGUGGGAUCAUUUUAUUGUUCCACAUCAGCGACACCCUGAUCCAGCCUUAAGAUUCGAGAAAGAGUCUACAGUUUCUUCCCACGAUCAUGGCCCAUGUUUCAACAACACACAUGGGUCCUCUUGGCGGAGUAAAGGAGCUGAAAUGAGAGGCAUCCAGGAAUAUGUUGUCCAAGUGCUGUCUGAGUCCUCGCAGGCCCAGGAAUUAUUAUCACAGCAAAAUAAAAUUUAAUACGUCUGAUAACUUUUCAGAGACGCCUGCUAUGUGGAAGAUGCCAGAGAGAUUCAAAGACAAACAGGCUAUGUGUGAUCAGGGCUCAAACAGCUAUCACCUGCUUACCACGCCCACACCACCAGGCCCUCCCCACCAGACCUCUUCUGCAGGUCCAAGAAACAGAGCAGACAAAAUACUAUGGAAAGAGUAUAGAGUUUGGGGAUUUUUGGUUUGGUUUGGUUUGGUUUUCCUAAAUUCUUUAGACAAAUUGC